UUUUAAGGUUUCCCAGGAUAAAUCUGAAGAAGUGGACCGACGUCCUUCUGCCUCCCUCUUAGGCUCCUUUUGUCAUGGUAAUUGAAAUGUGACAAACUCUGAUAACAUUUUGUUGGAAGAAAUCUGUCUGACUGACUGGGCCACAGCAUCCAAGUCACACAAAAAACCUUUAUUCAGAAAUAAACUAUUAAAAUAAAAUUCAAAUGCUUUAUAUGCAGAAGAUAUUUUAAGGAAUUAGGUUGUACCUAGCCAAAUUUUUGCCUUGAGUAA
rnacentral:lncRNA from 1 species